GGCCACACUGGGAAUGAGACACGGCCCAGAUUCUUAGGGAGGCAGCAGUGGGAAUAUUGCCCAAUGGGCGAAAGCCUGAUGCAGCGACGCCGCUUGAGGGAUGAAGGCCUUCGGGUUGUAAACCUCUUUCAGUAGGGAAGAAGCGAAAGUGACGGUACCUGCAGAAGAAGCGCCGGCUAACUACGUGCCAGCAGCCGCGGUAAUACGUAGGGCGCAAGCGUUGUCCGGAAUUAUUGGGCGUAAAGAGCUCGUAGGCGGUUUGUCGCGUCUGGUGUGAAAACUCAAGGCUCAACCUUGAGCUUGCAUCGGGUACGGGCAGACUAGAGUGUGGUAGGGGUGACUGGAAUUCCUGGUGUAGCGGUGGAAUGCGCAGAUAUCAGGAGGAACACCGAUGGCGAAGGCAGGUCACUGGGCCACUACUGACGCUGAGGAGCGAAAGCAUGGGGAGCGAACAGGAUUAGAUACCCUGGUAGUCCAUGCCGUAAACGUUGGGCACUAGGUGUGGGGCUCAUUCCACGAGUUCCGCGCCGCAGCUAACGCAUUAAGUGCCCCGCCUGGGGAGUACGGCCGCAAGGCUAAAACUCAAAGGAAUUGACGGGGGCCCGCACAAGCGGCGGAGCAUGCGGAUUAAUUCGAUGCAACGCGAAGAACCUUACCAAGGCUUGACAUACACCGGAAUCAUGCAGAGAUGUGUGCGUCUUCGGACUGGUGUACAGGUGGUGCAUGGUUGUCGUCAGCUCGUGUCGUGAGAUGUUGGGUUAAGUCCCGCAACGAGCGCAACCCUCGUCCUAUGUUGCCAGCACGUUAUGGUGGGGACUCAUAGGAGACUGCCGGGGUCAACUCGGAGGAAGGUGGGGAUGACGUCAAAUCAUCAUGCCCCUUAUGUCUUGGGCUUCACGCAUGCUACAAUGGCCGGUACAAAGGGCUGCGAUACCGCGAGGUGGAGCGAAUCCCAAAAAGCCGGUCUCAGUUCGGAUUGGGGUCUGCAACUCGACCCCAUGAAGUCGGAGUCGCUAGUAAUCGCAGAUCAGCAACGCUGCGGUGAAUACGUUCCCGGGCCUUGUACACACCGCCCGUCAAGUCACGAAAGUCGGUAACACCCGAAGCCGGUGCGCAUGUAAGAUCCGCACCUCGUGGCUACAUCGUAGUAGUCUA
rnacentral:rRNA from 1 species